UACACCUACCGUCAAAGAGCUUUGAGAAGGGCUUACCCUCAUGUUUGGUGGGCUUGGGCGUCCAAUGCAACGAGAAACAUUCCCAUCCCUGUUCCUCUUCUGGAGUUAGUACGAAGAAUCGAUCCUUCCACCACUUUAGAGAAUACGGAAGUUCGGUGAACAAAGGGAACCCGCCUUUAAAGAUAAAUUAACUGAAGUCUACGUUUUCACGCAAAAAGAACUUGUGAAAGUGCUGAAGCGCUUUCGUUGUGGCAACCAAGUUCUUCUCUCGGCAGAGAAUGAGGAACGCAAAAUGUCCGCCGGCUAUUGGGGCGGAGCUGAGACUGUAGGACCUUAACGAAGAACGGAUCCAACGGAAACUGGACACUCGCCUUGAGUUGCUCCUUAUAGAUCAUGAUAGAGUUCCUACGUGAAAGAAUUUCAUUCGUCCUCACGUGCCCUUUUAGCCUAUGAUCAAGCAUAUAAGAAGGAAGAUGGUGCUCCUCCAGAAUCCCUUCAUUGAUUGUCUUUCUUUUCAACUGUACUGGGGACCUUUAUCCCUAGCCCCAUAUUGGCCUGAAGGGUUGAUGGCUACGGCCCUCCCUCUCCAGCAACUUGCGCUACGGCCUCCGGCUGCUCAGCAGGCUGUCAAGAAGUCCCUUCUCCGGCCAUUAACACCUCCUGAGGAGGGAUAGCCAAGUCAAAAGAGACCUCCGUAGUGUCCUGACCCAGAUUUGGGGUAGGAGUACACAUUGGACGAAGGAGGAGGAGGAAAGAAGAGGAAAACAGAAAUAAAUAAAAAGGUUUACCUUAAGAUCUGAAACCCUUUGGUGAUGAAAAAAACAACCGUUUUGGGCGAAAAAAGGCAAAACAGAAAAAUAAAAUUAAAGAAGAAAAGCUAAAGAUACAAAAAUGUAAUAAGGUGGGGUGUUUUAUAUAUAUAGUAGUAGAAACCAUAAAUGCAAAAACUCCUCGAAAUGCCAAACAUGGCGCUUGGAGCAUCGCGCUGACGUGAUUAAUACAUGGCUCUCCAAGCGGCAAGACAUUUCAAAACUUUUUAAAUUUCUCCUUUCAUUUGAUGACGCCUAAGCAACAAAUAAAGAAAUUGAUCAACACAAAAUAACAAAUAUCGCUGAGCCUAAAGACUCGGAUAUUCGUAGGGGAACUAAUGAUAUUACAAUAACUAAAAUAAUAAGGGUUGAGUAACAGAUAACCGAGCAACGGGUAACCCUGAUACUCGAACACUCUCGAAGAAGGAAGUAACUCGCCCAAUUAUGCUAGCGAUACUUGGAUCACUCUUGAAGAUAAGGAUCUCGAGGUAUCCGCCUUAAUUGGAAUCCAAUUCGUACAAGGACUUGAUCAACAAAGUAGACUCCUAACUCUACUCAACUGCAGAACUCAUAAUUCUAAUAGGAGACGACAUCAAAGGCCUAUUUAAAGGCCAUCAGGUAUGCAUAGCAACCAUUUUUUACCCUCUCAUUCUAUUGUCUAGUUCUUACUACUGACUUAGGCAUUGGAGCGGUGGUUACAUAAUCCAACCGGUGCUUUUCUUUCUUACAGAUCUAAUUCCUGUACCCAACAUCCAUAACCUGCUAGAGAGGAGAAAACAGCAUCACUGCCAUUGCAUGUUUUUAUGCAAUAAAUGACAUUGUAGAAAAAAGAUCGAGCUCCUAUUCUAUAUUUCUCUAACUAUAGAUCAGUUCAUUGUUGUGAUCAAGCAAAUACCAUUCUUUGCUAUACAAAUGAUGAAGUGACUGAAAACCGAAAUACCAUUCAAGAAUUCAAGUCCAUAUUUAAUGAGCGGAAGAGAUGAAAAGAAAAAAAGGUUGAUUGGUGUAGCGGUAGGCUGAAAAUAUAAGAACUCCUAAAAAUAGCAUGCAUUAGUUCCGCUACUUUUUGCCUUUAUAUAUCUUUAACUAGCUUAUUUGGAUCUUCCAAUUCUAUUAGAACCACAAGAGAUGAUAUUGGAUAGCUUCUUGAUCCCACUUCCAAAAGGAUCUCAUUGCCACACAAGCAGUUCUAUAUGAAAACUCUACAUUAUUUAAGAUUAUGGAAAUUGUCCUUUGCUUUAUUAUUAUUAUUAUUAAUGUAGGACAAUGAGUGUAACAGUGGAGUUUAUUUGGAUUAGUCUUGCACCAAAUGGUGAACAUGGCUUACCAAGCCUGGUUGAAUUGUGCUAGUGAAAUUUAUGCUAUGACAUGAAUUUUCUGAUGGUGUUUAUGGAAUUUCCACUAUUCUUUUGCCUUUUCUUUGAUUUUCUAUUUUUUGUAAAUGAAGAAGGGUAAGAUUCUUCCUCUGUUGCCACUAUUGAUUUACUUCUAGGUUGUUCAGUGAUUUGUUGAUGAGUUAGCUCCUUGACCCACAUUGUUUGUGUUUAUUGUUAUUGUAUUAAUUUCUAUUUUACCUACUCUUUUGUCUACACUGAAAUUGGUAUUUGAUCAUCUGUUGAUAUUUCUUUCCAAUUACUGCAAUUUUCUGUAUGAGCACCUUCCACGUGUUUACUGUUCACCUUUCCUCUCAAAUAGUGAGGUGUAAAAAGCAAGAAACUAAGGUGCAAACUAAGGUGCCUUUGUCUUUACAUUUGAUUUACCAAAUACAUUAUAUUUUCUGGUUUUUAUUCGUAUAAAAUGACUAAAGUAUGUUGAUUAUGGAAUUACAGUCAUAUAUUAUGACUCAGUUUUUAUCCAUUAUUCAUUUUAUUUCCUAUGCAGUAGAAUUUUUAUAUGAUAAGAAGAGACAAGAACAGAACAUUUUUGAGGGUUUUAAAGAUUGAUCGGUU
rnacentral:misc_RNA from 1 species